CUUCCGGUCGCUGCGCGAGUCCCGAAAAGAAGUGUUCCGCUGUUACAGGAGACUCUCCAGGCCAGGCCUGGGCCAACUUAGGCCCUCCAGGUGUUUUGGACUUCAACUCCCCCAAUUCCUAACAGCCUCGGGCUCCUUCCUUCCCCCCCUCAGCCGCUUAAGCUGUAUAUUAUGCUUUGCCUUGGAACUUGGGUUGGGAGUGGUUAAAUGUCUAGAGACAGUCAGUAGUGAGUCACUCCUUUGCAUAGUUUCUGUCUCUGAAGGGCAAACAGUCUGGUUUUGUUGCUGCUUACCAUUUGCUUCUUGUGGGAAACAUUAGAUGGUUGGCAAGCUGCUCUCUUAAGAUUCAAAACUACUUACGCAAGAACCUUUCCUGCUGGAUGAAACCAGUCUGAUCCAGCAUCCUAUUUUCAACAGGGCCAGAAAAAGCUUGCAAGCUUCCUUCCAUUGUUUACGCCCAAGCAGUUGGCAGAUAUCCAUCUUCUUGAAGAUGGAGGUCUAUCAAGGCUUAUGGUUAGCUACUUUUCAUAGAUUUACCAAUCCAUGAAUUGUUUUAAGCUCCUUUUUAACGCUUGCUUUCAUUUAAGAGUUAAGCAAUCCUGAAGGGUCUCUCUUGGUAUUCCGGAAAUGGUUGGUAACUUGGAUACCCACACCCAUGUUGACACCUGGAUUAGCACAAGGCUUACAAAGAAUACACAGUUAUACUUCUUUACAGGUCAGUUCCCUUCAUCUGUAAAAUGUUUGCUUUUAUUUCUGCUUAAGAAAAAGUGGAGUACUGUUGUUAACAAGCUCUCAUGGCAGCUCAUAGGAUCAUAAAAAAUAAAGGGUGUCAACAGUCACCCAAUAUAAACAAAGCAGAGCAGUAAAGUAUAAUAAAACCCAGAAGAGAACAAUAAACAUGAAAUCAGCUAACAUGCUCAGAGAACUAGGCAAAUAGAAAGGACUUUAUUUGCUGCUGAAAAUCAUGAAUCUGAAUUUAUAUCACAUGAAAAAACACAACACAUGCAGGGUUUUGCCCCUGAAAAUAUCUUCUUUUGAGCCUCCACCGUCCUAGUUUGAUAAGGUGGCAAGAUUUAAAGAAGACUUAUUUUAUACCUAACUCUUUCCUGACCCAUCCCCAGUACUCUCUGGAAAUACUUCUGUGCAUUAAACAUGAACAGACAUACAGGCUCCUAUAGGCAGUAAAACAUGGUAUUACUACAUAUCCAAAGUGACACCAUAUGAUUCAGGCUUAUGUUACGCAGAUACCUGCUGGAAUAUUCAGGAAUUUGUAUGAGCAGGUUACUGACAGUUUGCAUUUCCAUACAAACUUUCCCCAAAGCUGAGGAUCAAGGCAGCUUACAAAACAAAAGGAAAUUACAAAUAAAUACAAAGGUUGUAAAAACAUACAACAGGUUAUGAUUAAAAUAGUAUUAAACUGUCACAUGGGAAUUCACAGAAGAAAAUUUUGUGAGAUUUUCUGGCUAGGUAGCAAGUUAUGAGUAAAUAUUAAGCUAUGUUGUGAAGUCCCAUGUCGUCUUGCAUACCUUUAAACUGCUUUGGUUAGUUAUUCUUAAGGCUAUUACAUUCCAGAGAACUUGCUAAGAUUA